rnacentral:rRNA from 1 species
GGUGAACGCUGGCGGCAGGCCUAACACAUGCAAGUCGGACGGUAGCACAGAGGAGCUUGCUCCUUGGGUGACGAGUGGCGGACGGGUGAGUAAUGUCUGGGGAUCUGCCCGAUAGAGGGGGAUAACCACUGGAAACGGUGGCUAAUACCGCAUAACGUCGCAAGACCAAAGAGGGGGACCUUCGGGCCUCUCACUAUCGGAUGAACCCAGAUGGGAUUAGCUAGUAGGCGGGGUAAUGGCCCACCUAGGCGACGAUCCCUAGCUGGUCUGAGAGGAUGAACAGCCACACGGGAACUGAGACACGGUCCAGACUCCUACGGGAGGCAGCAGUGGGGAAUAUUGCACAAUGGGCGCAAGCCUGAUGCAGCCAUGCCGCGUGUAUGAAGAAGGCCUUCGGGUUGUAAAGUACUUUCAGCGGGGAGGAAGGCGGUGCGGUUAAUAACCGCACCGAUUGACGUUACCCGCAGAAGAAGCACCGGCUAACUCCGUGCCAGCCGCCGCCGUAA